rnacentral:rRNA from 1 species
GGGUAACGGCCCACCAAGUCGACGAUCGGUAGCCGGACUGAGAGGUUGAUCGGCCACAUUGGGACUGAGACACGGCCCAGACUCCUACGGGAGGCAGCAGUGGGGGAUAUUGCACAAUGGAGGAAACUCUGAUGCAGCGACGCCGCGUGAGGGAAGACGGUUUUCGGAUUGUAAACCUCUGUCUUCAGGGACGAACAAAUGACGGUACCUGAGGAGGAAGCUCCGGCUAACUAC